UGAGCAACGUGCGUCAAUGAGGGCAGC
rnacentral:piRNA from 1 species